UGGGGAAUAUUGGACAAUGGGCGAAAGCCUGAUCGAGCGACGCCGCGUGCAGGAUGAAGGCCCUCGGGUUGUAAACUGCGGUAGUAGGGGAGGAACGCAAGUGACUGUACCCUACGGAAAGUGGUUGGUAACUACGUGCCAGCACCAGCGGUAAUACGUAGACCACAAGCGUUAUCCGGAUUUAUUGGGCGUAAAGAGCAUGUAGGAGGUCCGGUGCGUCUCUGGUUAAAGCCCACCGCCUAACGGUGGAAGUGCCAGAGAUACGAUCGGACUGGAGGAUGUGAGAGGUGCAUGGAACUCACGGUGUAGGGGUGAAAUCCGUUGAUAUCGUGGGGAACACCAAAGGCGAAGGCAGUGCACUGGUACAUUCCUGACUCUGAGAUGCGAAAGCGUGGGGAGCAAAAAGGAUUAGAUACCCCUGUAGUCCCUGAGCGGGCUGGCAAGGCGCAU
rnacentral:rRNA from 1 species